ACAGCCUUCCUCCGCCGCCUCCAUUCCGCACUGGUCGGGGUGAAGGGGGGGGCGGGGGGAGCCGCGCUGACGUCACUGCGGGCCGUGCCCGCCCGAGAAGGCGGCGCUGGGAGCCGCUCAGAGCCCAGAGAAGCGGCGCGCGGCCAGGAGCCCCCGCUCCGCCACUGCCGUGCCUGCCUCCCGCAGCUGUCUGCCAUGCGCUCGCCGGGGCAGGGGCGCCCGGAGGGCGGCUAGAGCUGGGCCUGAGCCCGGGAACGCGCCUGAUCAGGGGUGGCGGAGCCGCGGUCCCCACAGCCGCCCCACCCGCGCCGCUGCCUCGCUGGGGCCCGGGCCCCCUUCCCGGUCCUUACUCCCCUGCUGGUGCCUCCCUCCUUGGCGCGCUUCCCACCUGCGAUCGGCGCCCUCUUCGCAGUCACGAACUCGCCAGCAGCUAGCAGCACUGACUAGUAGGAGGGCCCGCCGGAGGAGAGGACAUGCUCUGGAGUCAGAAGACAGCGAAAAGAGAAGCAGAAGCCCCGGUGGCAAGAGUCUGAAGCAGGAAGGAUGACUGUAGCCUGUGGAUUGUACUGCAGUAGGAAACUGUCCUAGCAAGGCUCCACUUUGCCCCAGCUUCAAGCUGGAAAGGAGGAGAACAUGAAACAUUGCUUGAAGACAAUGGCCGAGACAGCAGGUCCCACCCUGCACAGCCACCAGCAUCUCUCCCCUCAGCCCUGUCUCCUCUUCUGCAGUUGGGAUCUGCACAUUUAAGCCUGAAAUUGUCCUGUGAAGUGAAGUAUGAUCGGACAGCCUCUUUUCAGCUUUUAUGACAAUGGAGACAGAGGAAUUGUGGCUCUUGCCAAGGUCACAGGAUUGGAAUACAGAGCCAAGCCACCCCAGGACAUGCAAGAGCCUCAGAAGGGAAAAAAGCCCAGCAGGAAGGGAGAACAAGUAGCCUCUGUCCUGAAGUUGUAACAGCCAGGGGCCAGGAUGGAGGAGGAGGACCCCAUAAUCUGCCCAUCUGGGACUUGGCAGGGGACCUGGGAAAAUGUACCCCAACCCAUCCCUUAAGGGCCUUUGUCUUUGGCCCAUUGGCCUAGCAUCUACUUCUUCACCGUGUCUGUUCUUGUCACACCUAGUCAGGUCUGUUUGGGUCUGAGGUGCAUGGAACAUUCUGGGUAGGCCUCCAGCAAACGGAAGCUCUUCACCGUGUUUCCAGCCUGGGACCAAGGGCAGCAUACUGGCAAAGUUGCCAAAGCAAGGGACUCCAGCCUCUUAGGAGUUAAUGACUCCCUCUCCCCAGCUGUCCUCCCCUUGGUGCUCCUCUUCCUCCCUCCUCCUGCUCACAGCAGGCAGGGCCUAGACCCGGGAGCCAUGCUGCUGUGCUGUUGCCAGGGGAGCACGGAGGCAGAUCUGAGCUAUGCAGGGAAAAGGCCCAGCCUGUCAAAGUGUCUGAGAUGAACCGCCGCCGUCCCUGUGCAGCUGGGCUCAGACGUGUCUCAGCUCUUGUUCUGUGCCUGAGAAUGGCGAAACCCAGUGAGGUUCAAGGGCAAACUCGCUAUUCAUUAGUCAGGGGUUCUUGACGUCCCGUCUCUCCCAGGGAUGAGUUCCCCCCUCCUCUUUCUCCCCCUCCUAUGACACAUUCCUGGGUGCCUUUGGUGAGGACUGCACACCCUCCUCCUGCCUAGCCCCCUCUCCAAAGGCCCCUGAAUAAACUCCCCCCAAGGAGACCAGGCAGGGCAGAGACAAUGGCUGCAGGAAAUCAUUCAGGCGGGACAUGCUGGCCUGCCCUCCACCCAGUCCCCCUGUGGGCCCCACUCCCUUCUGAUUCAGGGCACCCUUGGGCCCCCAGCCUAUACAGGCCUGGACAGGAAGAAACCACUGGGAACCACCCUAAGGACAACAUGCUAGUCCAGUGCCAUUCUUCGCUGGCUCUGUGGGUGCCUUUGUGGCCUGUACCGACUGGCUGGCUAAUUUUGUGGUUUCUGUACCAUCACAUGCCUAUUUUAAGACACUCUCCAGCACUGUCGGUUAGGGAGUGUAAAUUUUGCAAUAUUUUCUGAAAUGUGGCAAUAUCAAAAUGUAAAAGGCACACAUACUUGGUCACAAACAAAUGGCACUAUUUACUCUGUGGGCAUAUUUGUAAAAGUUGCCAAAGAAUUAUAUACAAGGAUGUUCAUCAGAGCAUUUCUUUUGAAGAGUAAAGAAAUGGACAUGAACCUGUGGUCCGUUCAUACGGUGGAAUACCUAUGCAGCUGUAAAAAUCAGUGUGGUAGAUCUCCGUAUAUGAGUUGAUGUGGAAGGUUGGCCAGUUCACAUGAUAAGGUGAAUAGAAUAAGUUACAGAACAGGCUGUAGAGUAUGAUCUUAUUUGUAGAUGUUUAAAACUGAGUCAUAAGUAUGCUUAUAUACAGAUCGUUUCUGGAAGUAUGUACUGGAAGUCUACCUCUGGGGAGUGGGGAUGGGGGAGUGCACUCUUCUAUACUGUUAUAUUUUCUUUUCAUGCUCCUAAGGUACUUUUAUUGGAAGAUGUAAAGCGGUUCAAUGUAAUAGGCUUAACUUCUGUCAACUAAGUUGGCGUGGGUGCUUUAAGAGGGUGGUAGUGAUGUUGCUGGAGAAAGUAUCCCACAGUCACUGGUGGCUUCAGCCACGGGCCAUUUUGGGGCCUAAUAAUCACAUAUCAUCAUGGUUGCUAGUGUUAAUCGAAAACCUACUAAGUGCCAGGCUUACUGUCUCUGGGUCUUGCUUACGUGGAUGUCAUUUUUCCAGUUGCACCAAAUCGAAAGAGGUUAAUUGGUUUGUUGGAGUUCCUUUGUAGGUGAAGGGCAGAGCCAGGAGCUUGGCUAGGGACAGGGGAGGUGAGUGGGGGAUGGUGGAUAGGUCUUGGCUCCCAGUUUCCUUCUGGGCAGACAUUGCCCCUCUGCCCUGAGGACCUGCUUGUUUGGGGGAAGAGGCCUUUAGAGGCACCAGGGUCAUGCCAGGUGUUGGACAUGGUGAACUGGGAAGUGCUCCCAUCUGGCCACAGCGCAGAAGUAUCACCGUGCUGGGGGAUGGGGAACAGGGCUGUGAAUGGGCCUAUUUGCAUAAGCAGCAUGUGUCUGGAGAGAAAGACAUCACAGAGCAGAAGAGUGCGGGUGCCCAGGAGUGCACUUGCCACCCCUACUUCAUCCCUGAAAGAGUAAAUGGCCUGGAAGGUGUCUCUGAGAGGUAAUGCCGCACACCACCCUCCCUGGGGGCAGGGUCAGGCUACACCUGCCUUAGGUCGGGGGCUGCAGCAGCCUGAGAGCUCUCAGUAGGGCCUCAGUAGCCUGGGAGGGAGCAGGGGCAGGGGGCAGGGAAAGAGGCGUAAUGGGGCUGUCCAGAGGGGCCUGGGAAACCUGGUCCCUGAGGCCUGGGCACAGCUACAAUCACUUCAAAUUGGCUGUGGGGCCAGUGGACUGGGAAGGAAAAAAGCAAUAAGAGUGACCAAGUGCAGAAGGCUGUCAGGUCCCAGGUCACAUGCCUUAGUGCAGUGACUCCUCAUCAUUUUAUGGGGUGUGGGUGUCGUUGGUACACCCAUUUUACAGAUGAGGACACCGAGGCCCAGAAAAGUUAAGUUACAUGUCCUAAGUCACACAGCUUGUAAGUGCCAGAACUGAGAUCAAAACCAAGUCUCUUUGACUUUAAAGUCUGUACUCUGACCCCAAAGAGAUCCUGUUUGGCCACUUAUAGGAGGUCCCUAAAGCUGCAGACUCCCCUUGCCGGCACCCACAUAUAGAGACAUUAACCCUUCCCCUGCAGGGUCACCUCAAAUAGUCUUUUAGCUGGGCUUCUCCUGCAAUUCCACCUAAUGCCAUCCCCUGGGUUUUGCCCAAACCUGAACUGGGCAGUGGGGUGAGAGGAGGGGUUUACAGGGUUACAGAGCCUCAUACAGAUAGGAGCCCAUGGCUGCUGGUCAUCUGCAUUCCUGCAGGAUUGGCUGUUCCUUGGGGUCCUUGGCAGGAAAAUGAGGAUUGCUCCGAGGCCUGCUCCAGUACUUCCCAGAGGCUGGCCUGGUGUGGGGCUCUGGGAAGGCUGAGGCUGGAGAAGCGUAAGUAGGAGGGCAGAGAUGGCACUCAGGUAGCUUGAAUCACCAGGACCCUUCCAAGCCCCACAGGUUCUGAGGGAGUACUAGGGCCAGCUCUGGGAGAGGUCUCUUCCUAUGCUGUGAACCCCCUGCCUUUCUUGCAGCCUACAACGAAUAAAUUUUCUUUGCAAAG
rnacentral:lncRNA from 1 species